GCCAGUGUGGCGUAGUGGUUUGAAUGUCAGACUACUAUGUUGGAGACCAGGGUUCAAAUCCCAGCUUGGCCA